rnacentral:rRNA from 1 species
CGGAGGAUCCAAGCGUUAUCCGGAAUCAUUGGGUUUAAAGGGUCCGUAGGCGGUUUGAUAAGUCAGUGGUGAAAGCCCAUCGCUCAACGAUGGAACGGCCAUUGAUACUGUCAGACUUGAAUUACUGGGAAGUAACUAGAAUAUGUAGUGUAGCGGUGAAAUGCUUAGGUAUUACACGGAAUACCAAUUGCGAAGGCAGGUUACUACCAGUGGAUUGACGCUGAUGGACGAAAGCGUGGGGAGCGAACAGGAUUAGAUACCCUGGUAGUCCACGCCGUAAACGAUGGAUACUAGCUGUUGGGCGCAAGUUCAGUGGCUAAGCGAAAGUGAUAAGUAUCCCACCUGGGGAGUACGUUCGCAAGAAUG